GUGGGUAGUUUGACUGGGGCGGUCUCCUCCUAAAGAGUAACGGAGGAGCACGAAGGUUGGCUAAUCCUGGUCGGACAUCAGGAGGUUAGUGCAAUGGCAUAAGCCAGCUUGACUGCGAGCGUGACGGCGCGAGCAGGUGCGAAAGCAGGUCAUAGUGAUCCGGUGGUUCUGAAUGGAAGGGCCAUCGCUCAACGGAUAAAAGGUACUCCGGGGAUAACAGGCUGAUACCGCCCAAGAGUUCAUAUCGACGGCGGUGUUUGGCACCUCGAUGUCGGCUCAUCACAUCCUGGGGCUGAAGUAGGUCCCAAGGGUAUGGCUGUUCGCCAUUUAAAGUGGUACGCGAGCUGGGUUUAGAACGUCGUGAGACAGUUCGGUCCCUAUCUGCCGUGGGCGCUGGAGAACUGAGGGGGGCUGCUCCUAGUACGAGAGGACCGGAGUGGACGCAUCACUGGUGUUCGGGUUGUCAUGCCAAUGGCACUGCCCGGUAGCUAAAUGCGGAAGAGAUAAGUGCUGAAAGCAUCUAAGCACGAAACUUGCCCCGAGAUGAGUUCUCCCUGAGACUUUAGGUCUCCUGAAGGAACGUUGAAGACGACGACGUUGAUAGGCCGGGUGUGUAAGCGCAGCGAUGCGUUGAGCUAACCGGUACUAAUGAACCGUGAGGCUUAACC
rnacentral:rRNA from 1 species